ACCAAGCAGAAUUCUGAUCCCAGCAAGGCAGAGCAAGAAUGGAGUUCAACAAGGGGCACCAUCCCUGUAUUAGUACGCCCAUCAAAGUUUCCCACUCCACCCUACUCUGGUUCUUCAACCAACCUUAGGCCGUCUCCACUGGACAUCUUGCCGCUGGUGACUGAUAAAGGGGUCCAGAACACAGAAAAUGACUGAGAUCCUCUGAUUCGAUGGAACACAUUUGAGGUUCAUACAGCCAGUAAGUCUCUGAAGUGAAUUCAAGUCUUCCUGACUACAGGAAUUUGGUUCUGACUUAUGCUGACUCACAUUUGGAAGUCUUUUGCACCACUGCACCUGCUGGGAUCAUGUCUGUAAACAGGCCAUACCUUGGCUGCACAAAGGAGCAAACCCUGGAGCUCCUCUCCCAGGCGCGACCUAAUAUGGAUUUACACCUUCCAGCCCAUGAAAAUCAGUUCCUGGGACAUCCUGCCUCCUGCCUAAUGGAAAGGAUAAAACUCAUCAAUGUAGAGAAACCACUUGUGGGGAGGAGGAGGGGAUGUACACUCUGUGGGAGGUUGAAAUCAGGACUGGAAUAAUGUUUACUCAUGCAGCUUGGGCUUGAUAACUAAAGUCCGGGGUUACAAUAGCAGUCCCAAUCCUGAUGUUAACUCACUGUGUGGCCACAGACAGGCCAAUUUCCUUCUCUGAGAUUCAUUUUUCUUCUCUGUAAAAUGAAAUAAAUCUAAAAUAGGGUUUCUUAAACUG